GCCCGGUGGUGUAGGGGCAAGCAUGCCGGACUUUGGAUCCGGCGACCGGGGUUCGACUCCCCGCCGGGCUACCA
rnacentral:tRNA from 1 species